AAACUCGUACUCUUCUGUAAAUACAUUGUCCUUGGGAGAAUAUCCUUUUGCUUUUUCCUUCAGCAAAUGAGAAAGAAGAACACUGCGGUUGUGCCAAGCAGAAUAGUUGCUGAAAUUAUCAUAUAUCAUGUCGGUAGUGUAUUCUAGCUCCUUCUCAUUUGGUAUGUUCUUCAAUGUUGUGACGAACCUUCUAUAAUUCCAUGCAUGAAAAUUGCGGGAGUCUGCCUUCUGGAACUUACCCAGAAGCAACAAUUCCUUGUCUGUGGAAGAAUGACCUUUGCUCAGCACCCAUUUACGGUGAUGCCAUGCUCCGUAAGACUUGAAAUUCCUCCUCAACGCAUUCUCUACCAAUCUGAGUUCUUCAUCAAGAAUUGACUUAACAGUCUCCUCAUUGUUCUCCACCUCAGGUAGAUUCAAA
rnacentral:misc_RNA from 1 species